UCGUGUCACAUGCUUCCUGUAAACUUCCUGGUUCAUAUCUGAUCACAAAAACACUGAAACACCUCUGUACACACGAAAUAUCCGAAUAAUAAACCCGCGAUUACGAUAGUAAAGCUUGGUAUGAGAUUUUCUUGAGAUCUGGGGCGUUUUUAUAAAAAAAAUCGAAAAUGUACAUCUGAAAUGCUAACUUGUGCAGCGAUGUAAAAGGCUAUAAAUAGCAUAUUUUUACAACAGUAAACGACCAAAUUCCACCCCUGAUCGCUAAAGGAAGUUAUUAUAAACAGUCGAUCGGGGUUUAAAGUGAGUUUUGAGUAAAAGUGUACUAAUAAUUUCAUAAAUUGUCUGAUUAAGACUUUUGAUAAAUAAGGGCUAAAUGCAAACAGAGACUGAAGUGAGAUCGCUGCUUUGUGUCUUUGUAAAGCCUGAAAAACCACAAUAAAGGCUGAUAAAGGUGGAAUAAAAACAAUAGAAUAAUGAUAAAAGAAUAA